rnacentral:rRNA from 1 species
CCUACGGGUGGCAGCAGUGAGGAAUAUUGGUCAAUGGACGAGAGUCUGAACCAGCAAAGUAGCGUGAAGGAUGACUGCCCUAGGGGUUGUAAACUUCUUUUAUAUGGGAAUAAAAUGUUCCAAGUGUGGGAUUUUGUAUGUACCAUAUGAAUAAGGAUCGGCUAACUCAGUGCCAGCAGCAGCGGUAAUACGGAGGAUCCGAGCGUUAUCCGGAUUUAUUGGGUUUAAAGGGAGCGUAGGUGUGUUGUUCAGUCAGUUGUGAAAGUUUUCGGCUCAACCGUAAAAUUGCAAUUGAUACUGGCAGUCUUGAGUACAGUUUCGGUAGGCUGAAUUCGUGGUGUAGCGGU